rnacentral:sRNA from 1 species
AUCUUCACCGUCACGCCGCGCCCGGUCUCAAAGCCUGCCUCGGCCAGCCAGUCGCCCUUGAGGUGCAGGCUGGGGUGCUGUGAAUAGUAUGUGGUCAUGUAGGUUUUGCUGUUUAUGUGGCGGGCGCUG